rnacentral:rRNA from 1 species
UCCCUUAGUAGCGGCGAGCGAACAGGGAAGAGCCCAGCGCCGAAUUCCGCGUCUCAAAGGGCGUUUGGAACAUGUGGCGUUUAGGAGGAAUCUCUCCGAGGGCAGACGGUGUCGCAAGUCCCCCUGAACGGGGCUGUGAUCCAGAGCGGGUGCGAGGCCCAUAGCUGGUACCGUCUCCUUUGGGUGUCCCCUCCUUGGAGUCGGGUUGCUUGGGAGUGCAGCCCUAAUUGGGUGGUAAACUCCACCUAAGGCUAAAUACGUCCGUGAGACCGAUAGCAAACAAGUACCGUGAGGGAAAGUUGCAAAGAACUUUGAAGAGAGAGUUCAAGAGUACGUGAAACCGCUCAGAGGCAAACGGGUGGGCCCACGAAAGCCGAAGGCGGGGGGAUUCAGUCGAGAGGACGGUGGGGCAGGACUGGCUGGUUGGACGGACCGUGCCAGGCCGGGUCAGUUCCCGAGAUCUGCCGCCUUUCGACGCAUUUCCCCCUGCUUAGUAGGACGCCGCAACCGGUUGGCGCUGCAGCCAUAAGGGAGAGUAAAUGGAAGGUAGCCAGUGAGUUCUUCUUCGGAGGCGCGAGCUGGUCCUAAGCCGACUCUCCUGGUGCUUGUGGCCCGACCGUGGUCGUGAGUCCCUCAACGGGAUGUCGCCGAGCCCUCUGACUGGAGCGGGAGAAGUGGCAGGCUGCUUUCCGCGGAAAAAAUCGAUCGCUUCACGCGUGCAGUGGGCGAUCUCCGGAGGUAGCUGCUGGUGCGUUUUUCUCCUGCGCUGGGCACAGGCAGUUGGCGGCGAGUAGGUCGGUCACCCACCCGACCCGUCUUGAAACACGGACCAAGGAGUCUAACAUGUGCGCGAGUCAUUGGGUCUUGAACAAGCCCAAAGGCGCAAUGAAAGUGAAGACCAGCACUGAAGCUGGUGGAGUUGGGAAA